rnacentral:rRNA from 1 species
UGGGGAAUAUUGCGCAAUGGGCGAAAGCCUGACGCAGCGACGCCGCGUGAGGGAAGAAGGCCUUCGGGUCGUAAACCUCUGUCUAGAGGGAAGAAACCAUUGAGGUCGAACAGGCCUCUUUGCUGACGGUACCUCUGAAGGAAGCACCGGCUAACUCCGUGCCAGUAGCCGCGGUAAUACGGAGGGUGCGAGCGUUAACCGGAAUCACUGGGCGUAAAGCGCACGUAGGCGGGGUCGUAAGUCGGAUGUGAAAGCCCUCGGCUCAACCGGGGAACUGCAUUCGAUACUGCGAGGCUUGAGUGCCGGAGAGGGUGGCGGAAUUCCAGGUGUAGGGGUGAAAUCCGUAGAUAUCUGGAGGAACACCAGUGGCGAAGGCGGCCACCUGGCCGGCAACUGACGCUGAGGUGCGAAAGCGUGGGGAUCAAACA